GGCGGACGGGUGAGUAACGCGUAGGAAUCUACCCAGUAGUGGGGGAUAGCCCGGGGAAACCCGGAUUAAUACCGCAUACGCCCCAUGGGGGAAAGGUGGCCUCUUCUUGAAAGCUACCGCUAUUGGAGGAGCCUGCGUCGGAUUAGCUUGUUGGUGGGGUAAAGGCCUACCAAGGCGACGAUCCGUAGCUGGUCUGAGAGGACGAUCAGCCACACUGGGACUGAGACACGGCCCAGACUCCUACGGGAGGCAGCAGUGGGGAAUAUUGGACAAUGGGCGCAAGCCUGAUCCAGCCAUGCCGCGUGCGUGAAGAAGGCCUGAGGGUUGUAAAGCACUUUCAAUAGGGAGGAAAAAGCAUUGGUGAAUACCCGAUGCCUUGACAUUACCUAUAGAAGAAGCACCGGCUAACUCCGUGCCAGCAGCCGCGGUAAUACGGAGGGUGCGAGCGUUAAUCGGAAUUACUGGGCGUAAAGCGUGCGUAGGCGGUUAGUUAAGUCGGAUGUGAAAGCCCCGGGCUUAACCUGGGAACGGCAUUUGAUACUGGCUAACUUGAGUUUAGGAGAGGAGAGUGGAAUUUCCGGUGUAGCGGUGAAAUGCGUAGAGAUCGGAAGGAACACCGGUGGCGAAGGCGGCUCUCUGGCCUAAAACUGACGUUGAGGUACGAAAGCGUGGGUAGCAAACAGGAUUAGAUACCCUGGUAGUCCACGCCGUAAACGAUGUCAACUAGCCGUUGGGUCUUUAUUAAGAUUUUAGUUGGUGCAGCUUAACGCAUUAAGUUGACCGCCUGGGGGAGUACGGCCGCAAGGGUUAAACUCAAAUGAAUUGACGGGGGGCCCGCACAGCGGUGGAGCAUGUGGGUUUAAUUCGAUGCAACGCGAAAAACC
rnacentral:rRNA from 1 species